CUGUUAGGGACUUCCUCAGGGACAAUCUUUCACAAAGAUGAUGAAUAAAAAUACAUAUAAAACACUUUUAUAUGUAUUUUUAUUCAUCAUCUUUGUGAAAGAUUGUCCCUGAGGAAGUCCCUAACAG